ACAUGAUGAUGUGGACAUUUACGAAGCAAGUCCCUGAAACACUCCCAGGUCUCAAAGAAAAGUUCCCUAUCUAUCUGUGUGAAACUUGUGACUGCCCUUUGUAACU